AAAUAUUGACAUAAGGAAAUUCUGAUAGCUGUGUCUCUGGUUUGUGGUCCAACCUCCCUGCUGCACUUUGAAACAGGAGGGACAAAUAACUUCUGCUUUUUAUCCUUCCUUCUCAUGAAUGUUGAAUCCUUGGUAUAAAGAUCCUCAUGAUCAUGAUGUGGAAGAGGGGAAAAAAAGAGGGCAUAAUGCUGAGAGAAGAAGAAGAAAACAGUCCUUGGAAGAACUGCUUUCUGAAAGGAAAAGCACCUGAAGCCUCUAAUCAUUGACUUUGAGAACCCAGUGAGAUACCCAACAUUGUGGCUAGCUCCCAGGAAGCUCUACAAUGUGGUGAAAAACACUCAGGAGCAGAAAUCCCACCAAGAAAUUAACCUUGAAUGGUCAACACAGAAGAUCUGGCAAAGGCUUCCAUGGUAUUAACAGUAUGGAGAACUUAAAAACUGUGGUGCAUAUUGGAGAGAGCUGUGGAAUGCUCCAGACUAAUUUAAGUCCAUCUCCAUCCAAACCUCCCAGCUGUGUCGCACAGGAGUCUCAAGCAAGAACUGGACGACUUGAUCAACAAUUGUUACCUCUUGGCACCUUCCAUGCUGUCCCCUCCCAGAGCAACAUGCAAAGUGCAAGGGUUUGUUCUGAACUCUUUCUGUUCUUCAUGUUUUUGCAUAAAUCUGCACAGAUAGAUAUAUCCACAUUCUUCAACAUGCCUAAGGCUGGGAAAGACACUGAUUUACAUGGUUACAUAUUGCUUUAGACUCGUAGCUUUGGGCUGCCUUUUUAAGUCACUGACAGGUGAUAUAAACACAUGAACACCUUUAAACAGCUACAUAAUGCCUCUGGACCUGUGUGCAAUCUGAUUUACACUGGCUGUUAAACUGACAUUACUCACUACUGUUUUUCCUCAUAUUCCUGCUAUUCAAAAAUCCAUGCAGUACAUAAAUAAAAUUCCAAAGAUUAAAUUAAACUUUCGCAUUUCUGUGCACCCUCAUACCUCUUGUUUUUACUUCUUGACCCUAAGAAGACCUUGUAUAGUAUUUCCCAGUGAGCUGAAACAAUCCUUAAAAUGGUUGGAAAGCAGGAAUUUUGUAGGACAAAGUGGAGAAUUGCCCAGACAGUCACUGCAGGGGAGGUAUGAAUUGCUACUACUGUGUGAGCCUUUGCUUCCAGUUAUCUGGUUUGUGUUUAUUUAUGAUGCAUGAAUUAUACAACACAGGCAGGCUCUUUCAAUUACUUAAUAAAAUACAAAUAUGUAAAUACAGGUACCAUCCCAAACACACUGCUUUCAAUUCUUAUCUACUGCAGCACAUUUCCUGGAUUUUACUCCUUCCAGCUCUGCUGGUAGUAAGUGUUGAUUUGAUAAAGAAAACAGGAAAUAAUUCUUCAUUUCAAUAAUUCAUGGAAAAUGAACAGAAACUAUGAUGUCUGUGACACAUGAGAGCACACAUCUCAGACUGGGGUAUUAGUAUUCAGUGCUGGGACUGUAGCCCUGGAACAUAUGCUUAAAACAUUUCUAAGCCCCUUCAGAAUACCAUUUCAAUAGAAAUUCAGUAAUCUGUUGAAAUAAGUCAACACAGAAAAUUAUGAUAUAAUUGGAGCUCUUUAAUUGCCAGUUAUGUCCUUUGAUUGAUCCCCUGAAACAAUGUUAUUAGUAUUUAAUGUAAAAUUUAUGCAGUAAAAAAGGUGAAUUUAUGGGGUGAAAGGACAAUCUUCCAUUUUGUGAAAUAUAACUGGCAGAUGGAAACAUGAAAUAAAGUGCCUCCUGCCAGCUUUUACUGUACCUGCUAAUAAACUUUCCUGCCUUGAGACAUUAGAAAGAGUUUCUUUGGGACAAUUAGCACUUACUGAAGGAUCUGCUCUUCCUCCACCUUCACAACAGUGCAGCUUUUUUUAUAAUUUGUAAUAUAUUAUGCAGCACUUCAGUUAAAUGGGUGGUUGAGUGGAGUAGUGUGGCUCUCGUUGUUAACAUGAGAACAUGCCAAAGCAUGACAGAGGCUGCUGUGGAGUUUAGGUCCCUUAAAGGAUAAUAUUUUACAUGGGAUUUAAGAGUGAAAAAGGUUUACAGCUGCCUGAGUGGAGCCUGUUUACCCCAGCUUAUUUUACUGACUCCUUCCCCAGAAUUUUAAAUCUAUAUUGUUUUGGUUUAACUGCAGUCAGCAACUAAGCCCUUCACACCUGCUUGCUCAGCUCCCUACUCACCCCCCAGUGGGAUUUGGAGAAGAAUCAGAAAGAGGUUAAAACCAUGGAUUGAGACAAGAAUAGCUUAAUAAUUGCAAUAAAGUUGGUAAUAAUAAUCCUAGUAAUAAUAGUAAUAAUAACGAUUACUUAGAAUAAGCACUUAAGCCAUCAGUGUGAUAUCAGCAUAAUUCUCAUACUGAAUCCAAAAGCACAGCACUAUGCCAACUACUAGGAAGAAAACUAAAUCUAUCUCAGUUGAAGACAGGACAUUUGCCCCAUCACCAAGCUGAGACCUCUUCAUCUGGCUCCUAAUCAUGGAGCUUUGAAAGGGCGGACACAAGUUCCUACAAAAAGGUGUGGCUGUGCUACAAAAAGACAUUCUCCAAAGGCAGCAGAUUUCAGAGCCAUUUCAUUUACAGCAAUUUCCUUAUAAUGACAUGUUUUUAACAUCAUGUUUUUAUCUUGGAUUUUACACUACUGCCUUUUCUCUUAGCGCACCAGUCCAUGAAUUUAUCUUAUUGGCAGGUAAUCUAGUUUUGUGAGCAAGUGCAGCUGCAGAUGAACGAAUACAGGUUUUUUUCCUCCAAACAGGAAACCUUUUUCUCCUCCACCUCUCCAUAAUACUCCUCUCCAAGGACAACAGCAGGUUACAUUCAGUCCCAGAUCCCAAAAGCUUUCUUCUGCAGAAAAAUAUUUUACAGUUUGAAAGUCUAUUGUUUCAGAUCUUGGAAGCCACUGCUGUACCCAUGUGAAUGCUACUUUGAGUUCAGUUAUCUGUGAACUUUAGCAAAUCAUCAUGUCCCACAGAACCAGGCUGAUGCCAUUGCAUGAUGGCCAGAGGCUCCUAUGCUGCUCCUCCUCAUCAGCAAAGGUUUGUAAGAAAGGUUCCCAAUAUUAUUUCAAUGGACUUGACAUUAUUUCAAAGGGGUUGUUAGGUUAUUUAAAUGUGGAAGGGUUUCAGUAAUGUAUACAAACUUGCAGAAAACUUAGUGGGAAUUUUUUUUGUGAAUUUUAGCACCAUUCCUUUGGUUUCUUCUGAGUGGCACUGUUAAAAAGUUAAUCAGAGGUUCAGUCUGAGUGUGCACUCUUAGAAAAAACAGACUUCUGUAGGUAUUUUGGCUUCAUAUUACCUGAUACAUUAUAUACAAGUUAUACAUUAUAUAAAGGUUAGUGGAGGUUGUUUGGCUUUCAUUGCUAUAAUAUUGGAAUGGCUGAUGCAAGCUGAAUGUUUUUUAUCAUCUCAUUAAAAAUCAACAUUCCAGAGUGUCCUUAUAUUUUUGUUGGUA